rnacentral:ncRNA from 1 species
UGAUAGAGGUGCGAACGUCAAGAGUACGGCCCCCAUUCAACACAGGCGCGCGGGGCGGGAAAGGGGCGUUUGCCGAGGUUCGGUUUGUCCCGCCUGAGGGGGCCGCCGCGCCGGGCCGUGGGAGAACAUCCCCCGGACUGUCGCCCGUACAGAAAUGCCGGGCGGAGCGCUGUCGU